UACAGAGGUGUCAAACGUUGUCCGGAAUUAUUGGGCGUAAAGGGCGCGUAGGCGGCCGGGUAAGUGAGAUGUGAAAGCUCUGGGCUCAGCCCAGGAAUUGCAUUUCAUACUGCUCGGCUUGAGAUUGGUAGAGGAUGGCGGAAUUCCAGGUGUAGCGGUGAAAUGCGUAGAUAUCUGGAGGAACACCUGUGGCGAAGGCGGCAUCCUGGACCGACAUUGACGCUGAUGAGCGAAAGCUAGGGGAGCAAACGGG
rnacentral:rRNA from 1 species